AUGUACGAGGAGAAAGGAUUUAUUCGCUGAGGGAUGGGCCUGCGGCCUAUCAGGUAGUUGGUGGGGUAAAGGCCUACCAAGCCUGCGACGGGUAGCCGGACUGAGAGGUCGACCGGCCACACUGGAACUGAGACACGGUCCAGACUCCUACGGGAGGCAGCAGUGGGGAAUAUUGCACAAUGGGGGAAACCCUGAUGCAGCGACGCCGCGUGGAGGAUGACGGCCUUCGGGUUGUAAACUCCUUUUGUCAGGGACAAUGGUGAUGGUACCUGACGAAUAAGCCACGGCUAACUCUGUGCCAGCAGCCGCGGUAAGACAGAGGUGGCGAGCGUUGUUCGGAAUUACUGGGCUUAAAGGGCGCGUAGGCGGUGGUGUAAGUCUGGGGUGGAAUGCUACAGCUCAACUGUAGAGCUGCCUUGGAAACUGCAUUACUUGAGUCGGUGAGGGGAAGGCGGAAUUCCUGGUGUAGCGGUGAAAUGCGUAGAUAUCAGGAGGAAGGUCUGUGGCGAAGGCGGCCUUCUGGCACUUGACUGACGCUGAGGCGCGAAAGCGUGGGGAGCAAACAGGAUUAGAUACCCUGGUAGUCCACGCCCUAAACGGUGGGUAUUAGGUGUGGGGCCUUCAUGGGUUCCGUGCCGUAGCGAAAGCA
rnacentral:rRNA from 1 species